rnacentral:lncRNA from 10 species
CUGUUUUUGACCAUCGGGGACCUGACUUCAGAAAAGUUGACUUUUCCAAACUCACACAGACGUGACAUGUCACCAUUUCUCCUCAACUGAACCUGGCGGCUAGCAGCCACACAAAACUGCCAUCUCCGUGGCCCUAUAUAGAAUGCAAGGGAUGGAUCUUGUCCAUGCUCAGGCAUAAAAUGACAAGAAAAAGCGGAUUUGGCCUGAUCACGUGUUCUUCCAAAUCAUUUUCAUCUGCCACCAGGACUUUUGGCUUUUGAAAACCUAAAUAUUUGACUCUUUUGUUUCAUAGUUCCAUUGUGUCAGUCUUCUCUUGAGAUGCUUGCAGCCCGCUGCCUGAAUAAAUGAAGG